CGUUAUGAUGGGAAUAAGGUGUGAAUGGGUGGGAAUCAAGUAUUAUUCGAUGUGUCACUGAAGAUAAUUGAUGACUUAGUUUGGAAUACAUGAUGAACGUUGGCUUUAUUUUUGUACUCGCCGCGCUCAGAUGGAGCUGGAUGAUAGCUAGCGAGUCUAAACUAUAUAUGAUUAUAGGAUUAAUUUCAUUUGUGAGUGCAUGGAUGUGUGUUUUUUAUAUUUUUAACCGGCAGGCCUUCUGUGACUAGGAGUACGGCU
rnacentral:lncRNA from 1 species